UGGGCUGUGUGGUGAAACCGGCCUCGCCACGUGUCCUUGGAGGGGGCUGCUUGCCCGCCUCUUGCCUUUGGACUAUGGACCAGACUUUAUGUGAAGUUAUUAACCCAGAUAGCUAUGCCAUGGAGCCCAUUUGUGUAGUUAAAGACUUCGGCUCCAUGGCAAUUGAACUGUGUGAAUAGGAUCUGAGCGCUAUUCGGUAGUUUUGUGCGCUCAGAUCCCAGCUAUCUGGGAUAUGUGAAAUGUCUGUGUCUUAUGUGUAAAAGGUGACUUUAUGUAUUUUAAAGUGUUUUGUGUCUUUUUGCAACCAUGUGCUUAAUGGAGUCUUGUGUCUGUCCUGGGAGAUAAUUGAAUUACUUAUCUCCAGGAUAGAAGACUCUGAAACUGGUUUGGGCCAGAAAGCCAUGCUUCAUUUAGUCACAAAGGACUUUCCCUUAACUUUUGAACCCCUGGUCUGAUUCGUGCCAUUUUUAAAU